rnacentral:lncRNA from 10 species
GAAAAUAUAAAACUGUCAAAUUAUAUGCAAUAAAAGUCAUAUGAUACUUCAAAAUCUGUGAUUCCAUGAAGCCAAGAGUAGCUCUUCAACAGGAAAUGAAUGAGUGCUUCAGCUUCUGAUCCCAUUAGUAAGAAAAUACAGUCUUAUGAGCAAUGAUGGAGCUGCAUCUCUUAGGGGCAUUUGAUUCCCAAGAGACCAAAGAGCAAAGAGAAUGUCAAUUUAAAAAAAUCAAAUGUUUCCAUGACUUAGCUAUUUAACUGCUUUAAAAUGAAUGAAUGCUGCUUCAAGUUCUUUCAAAUACCCCACAUCUUGGCAACAACGAAAGGAAUUAACAUGAAGAAAAUUUACAAUCUUUCAUCACAUCGAACAAUGUCCCACAUUUGAAAAGUUCACAGCACAGAUUUCUGGUUACUGAAAGAAAGGAAAGACCUUCUUUGGAUUUGAAUAAACAGAUGGACUUUCUUCUCCUUUUUCUUAUAGUGCCCGAUUUGUGUAAAGGGAGGUGGGAAGAAAACAUCUUAGCUUAAAAGAGUGUCCUAUAAAAUAAAAGGUUUCAUACUUGCCUAUAGCUAAUCUCUGAAGGUGGUUACAAAAGAGGAUUUCUGAAACAUUUUAUAUGCAAUGGCCCAGACAUUUGCAUAAGUGGUCAAACUUUCAAGAUGACAACUUAAAAAUAUAAUACUCCUUUUGGACAAGCUUGUUUUUAAAAUAGCAGCAUCAUUAACUUUGGCAAAUCCAAUUCUUAAAUAUCCUUUAAAAUAGUUGAUAAAAGAAAGAAGGUAUCAGAACUAUAUAAUGGUUGCACUGCAUUUUUUAAAACCUCUUAUUUUGAAAUAAUUUUAGAAUCACAGAAAGUUGCAAAUAUAGUAUAAGGAGUCCCAUGUGCCCUACAUGAUGACAUCUUAUAAAGGGAUAGUAUAAUAUCAAAACCAAGAAAUUGACAUUGG